GCCGUCGUCGACCAGUGGAAGGUCAUCCUCGCAAGUUGUAUCUGAAUCCCACCUGUUCGACAUCCGAGGGAGCCAGGGGUUCGAUUCCCCUCGGCGGCA